rnacentral:lncRNA from 1 species
AUGCCUCAGACAUCACCUCGCCCUAGCACCUCCAACCCGAGAAGGAUUCAAUCCACAACAGAAUGGCGCGCCAGGAAGGAGAGGCACCGCUUGCCUAUUUUUAAGAAAAAGCAAGCAACCCAUUGUCAUGCUACCGCAAAGAGCGUCCUUGAGGUAUUUUAACCCAAAGAAUGCUCACCGAUAGUAGCUCUACUCGGAGAUUAUAUUCCAUGUUAGCUACCGAAGGCAUUCCCACAGUCCCACCCCCGACGGUCC